UCCCUAGUGGCUCCGACGGUAAAGCAUCUGUCUGCAAUGCAGGAGACCCGGUUUCGAUUCCUGGGUUGGGAA
rnacentral:tRNA from 1 species